AAUGGCGGCGGCGGUCCGGGGGUGUGGUGGGGUUUGGCGCCGGGAGUGGCAGUGCAGGGUCGGGGGUCUCUCCCGCCGCGGGCAGCGCACCCUGGGCUGUAAUGCGAGAGGCGGGGCGGUCCCGGCUGGGAAGAGCGGUCUUGCUCCAUGGGUACCAGUUGUGGGUCUGGAAGUUCAUGCACAGAUCAGUUCCAACUCAAAACUUUUCUCUGGUUCCCAAGUCCAGUUUGCAGCACCUCCUAACUCUUUGGUAUCUUUCUUUGAUGCUUCUUUACCAGGAACUUUACCAGUUCUCAACAGGAGAUGUGUAGAAGCAGCAGUGAUGACAGGCCUGGCACUCAACUGCAGCAUAAACAAGAAGUCCUUGUUUGACAGAAAACACUACUUCUAUGCAGAUCUGCCUGCUGGCUAUCAAAUCACUCAGCAAAGAGUUCCUAUUGCGGUGAAUGGCACUUUGUCAUACAGUCUCUACAAAGACAACAAAAUGAGCCAGAUGGUGACCAAAACUGUGAGGAUUAAACAGAUUCAGUUGGAGCAAGACAGUGGAAAGAGUCUUCAUGAUGACACAAGAAGCCAGACUCUUGUUGACUUGAACAGGGCAGGAGUUGGCCUCAUGGAGGUUGUCAUGGAGCCUGAUAUGUGCUGUGGGGAAGAAGCAGCUGCAGCAGUCAGAGAGCUUCAGCUCAUUCUUCAAACACUUGGGAGCAGCCAGGCAGUCAUGGCAGAGGGUCAGCUAAGAGUGGAUGCCAAUGUUUCUGUGCAUCACCGUGGAGAGCCUUAUGGAGUGAGGACUGAAGUGAAGAAUAUCAAUAGCAUACGAUUUCUGGCUAAAGCAGUAGACUAUGAAAUAGAGAGGCAAAUAGAAGAACUUGAAAAUGGAGGAACAAUUCUGAAUGAAACAAGAGCCUUUGAUUCUAAGCUUGGGUGCACUGUACCGAUGAGAGACAAAGAAGGGAAACAGGACUAUCGUUUCAUGCCAGAACCAAACCUUCCUCCACUGAUUCUGUACGACGCAAAAUCUUUGCCAGCUAAUAUCAACCAUCAGCAAGUGGUUAAUAUUGAUUGGAUUCAUGAAAGACUACCUGACCUCCCCAGUGUGAGGAGAGCAAAGCUUGUUGAACUGUAUGGGAUUCUUCCUGAACACAGCUUCACCUUAGUGAAUGAAGAUGGGUUAACAGAAUUCUUUGAAAAUGUGGUAAACCAAACCCAGAUGAAGCCAAAGAAAGUGAUCGGCUGGAUUCUAAAAGAUCUGCUCAGUUAUUUGAAGCAGCAUUCCCUUACUGUAAAGGAAAGCCCAGUCAGUUCUGUUCUCCUGGCUGACCUUCUGAACCUUCUAGAAAAAAAGGAAAUUUCUUCUACAGCAGCAAAGCAGGUGCUGGCAGAAUUGUGGAAAGGUGAAGGGAAGAGUCCUCUUGAAAUUGUUAAAGAAAAGAAACUUGAACUGAUGCAGGAUCAAAAAGAGCUUGAACAGAUCUGCCAGGAGGUGAUUGAUGGACAAGAAAAUGAGGUUAUGGCAAUAAAAGCAGGAAAUCUAAAAGUCCUAAAUAAGUUAAUUGGCCUGGUACAGAGAAAAACUCAAGGACGAUCCAACCCUGUUGUGGUGAAGCAAUUAUUAGAGAAGAAGCUAUCACUGUAGCCUCAAGAGAAAAGUGUCUUCAGAAAACACGUGCUUCAUUCUGGCUGGAUCAUUUCAGAUGAACUUUGGUGCUUCCUCCUGUACCAUCGGGCUUGUUGGUUUUACUUCAAGCAGCAUUACCUCCUGUGCCCCCCCCCCCGGGUGCAUCAGCCAAAGGCAGAUGAACAAAAGCCCAGGAGGAGGUGGUGCAGCCAUUUGCGUCUCCCUCACUUCGAUGUGGCAUUCAGAAAGGUGGUUUCCAUGCAGCCAGGGGAAACAAGUUUCCAGAGGUGUCUGUGAAUAUGCAGAGAGCUGAAAGCUGCACUGAUCCAUAGGCCUGAGGAGAACAUCUCUGCACUGCUGACACUUACUGGGUGUGGGAACCUCAGUCUGGUUAUUCAGUUCUGCAGGGAAAAUUACCCCACAGCAGCAUCCCAAAACACUGAAAGCAACAAAAAAUCCUUAUCAUACCCAUCUGCAAAAUUAAUAUAGCACUCCA